CUUAGUACGGCGAGUGAAGCGGUAAAAGCUCAAAUUUGAAAUCUGGUACUUUCAGUGCCGGAGGAGGAUUUGUAGAAUUUGUCUUUGAUUAGGUCCUUGUCUAUGAUCCUUGGAACAGGACGUCAUAGAGGGUGAGAAUCCCGUUUGGCGAGGAUACCUUUUCUCUGUAAGACUUUUUCGAAGAGUCGAGUUGUUUGGGAAUGCAGCUCAAAGUGGGUGGUAAAUUCCAUCUAAAGCUAAAUAUUGGCGAGAGACCGAUAGCGAACAAGUACAGUGAUGGAAAGAUGAAAAGAACUUUGAAAAGAGAGUGAAAAAGUACGUGAAAUUGUUGAAAGGGAAGGGCAUUUGAUCAGACAUGGUGUUUUUUGCAUGCACUCGCCUCUCGUGGGCUUGGGCCUCUCAAAAAUUUCACUGGGCCAACAUCAAUUCUGGCAGCAGGAUAAAUCAUUAAGAAUGUAGCUACUUCGGUAGUGUUAUAGCUUUUUGGAAUACUGUUAGCCGGGAUUGAGGACUGCGCUUCGGCAAGGAUGUUGGCAUAAUGGUUAAAUGCCGCCCGUCUUGAAACCACGGACCA
rnacentral:rRNA from 1 species